CAACGCCGGAAAUCUCACCGGGGCGACAGCAAUAUGAAGGUCAGGCUGAAGACCUUACCCGAUUAGCUGAGAGGUGGUGCAUGGCCGUCGUCAGUUCGUACUGUGAAGCAUCCUGUUAAGUCAGGCAACGAGCGAGACCCACGUCCACAGUUGCCAGCAUACCCUCCGGGGUGAUGGGUACACUGUGGAGACCGCCGCUGCUAAAGCGGAGGAAGGAGUGGGCAACGGUAGGUCAGUAUGCCCCGAAUCUCCCGGGCUACGCGCGGGCUACAAUGGUUGGUACAAUGGGCAUCUACCCCGAAAGGGGAAGGAAAUCUCUUAAAGCCAAUCGUAGUUCGGAUUGAGGGCUGCAACUCGCCCUCAUGAAGCUGGAAUCCGUAGUAAUCGCGUUUCAACAGAACGCGGUGAACACGUCCCUGCUCCUU
rnacentral:rRNA from 1 species